AGUGGGGCUGUGAUCAUGGCGUCUCAUUGCCCGACCGGCUCACCCCGCCCCCCUUGCAGGACGGGUGGGCACAGGACCCAGCCUCUGCUGAGCACAGUCCACUUCUCUCUGGUCACAGGCAUUGGUCCAAGGGGUAGAUGGUUCAUCAAGUCAAUCGGAACCCUUCUCCAGCAUUUUGGAAUAAGAGGGAGAAGGACAGCAUCCUCCGCCUUUUUGAAAACAAGCUGUAAGGAGGAGGCCUGCCAUCCAUCUUUCCUGUCACAUGGGGUGGGGGCGGAUAGAAUUCUACCAACACACUCGGAAGCACGAGAGAUGUGCAGAGGCCAGAUGUGGAGAGAGAAGAGAACACGGACAUUCUUUGAACCAGAUCCCCCCCUCUGGACUUCCCAAUUAGCUGUGGCAUCGCCCGGUCCUCAAGACAACAUGAGGCUCUGGACACGCAGGCUCAGCGGCCAUGGCUCACGGG